rnacentral:rRNA from 1 species
UACGGGGGGGAGCAAGCGUUGUUCGGAUUUACUGGGCGUAAAGGGCGCGUAGGCGGCCACCGCAAGUCGACUGUGAAAUCUCCGGGCUUAACCCGGAAAGGUCAGCCGAUACUGCGGGGCUAGAGUGCAGAAGGGGCAACUGGAAUUCUCGGUGUAGCGGUGAAAUGCGUAGAUAUCGAGAGGAACACCUGCGGCGAAGGCGGGUUGCUUGGCUGACACUGACGCUGAUGCGCGAAAGCUAGGGGAGCGAACGGG